CCUACGGGAGGCAGCAGUGGGGAAUUUUGGACAAUGGGCGAAAGCCUGAUCCAGCAAUGCCGCGUGUGUGAAGAAGGCCUUCGGGUUGUAAAGCACUUUUGUCCGGAAAGAAAUCCUUGGCUCUAAUACAGUCGGGGGAUGACGGUACCGGAAGAAUAAGCACCGGCUAACUACGUGC
rnacentral:rRNA from 1 species